UGGUUCAAGAAAUUUGGGUUUAGUUUAACGACUUUUCGGUCGUUUGAAAUUUGGGUUUAGUUUAACGACUUUUCGGUCGUUUGAAAUUUGGGUUUAGUUUAACGACUUUUCGGUCGUUUGAAUGUGGGUUGUUUAGUUUGACGACUUUACGGUCGGUUGGAUUUGGUUGUUUUGGGUUUUGGGGUUUUGUUUGUGGACUUUGGGUUUUGGGUUUAUUUGUGGACUUUGGGUUUUGGAUUUAUUUGUGGACUUUGGGUUUUGGUUUGG
rnacentral:lncRNA from 1 species